GACGAACGCUGGCGGCGUGCUUAACACAUGCAAGUCGAACGGAAAGGCCCUGCUUGCAGGGUACUCGAGUGGCGAACGGGUGAGUAACACGUGGGUGAUCUGCCCUGCACUUCGGGAUAAGCCUUGGAAACUGGGUCUAAUACCGGAUAGGAGCCAUUUUUAGUGUGAUGGUUGGAAAGUUUUUUCGGUGUAGGGUGAGCUCGCGGCCUAUCAGCUUGUUGGUGGGGUAAUGGCCUACCAAGGCGGCGACGGGUAGCCGGCCUGAGAGGGUGGACGGCCACAUUGGGACUGAGAUACGGCCCAGACUCCUACGGGAGGCAGCAGUGGGGAAUAUUGCACAAUGGGCGCAAGCCUGAUGCAGCGACGCCGCGUGGGGGAUGACGGCCUUCGGGUUGUAAACUCCUUUCGCUAGGGACGAAGCUUUUUGUGACGGUACCUAGAUAAGAAGCACCGGCUAACUACGUG
rnacentral:rRNA from 1 species